rnacentral:rRNA from 1 species
UACGUAGGGGGCAAGCGUUGUCCGGAAUUAUUGGGCGUAAAGCGCGCGCAGGCGGUUCUUUAAGUCUGGUGUAUAAGUGCGGGGCUCAACCCCGUGAGGCACUGGAAACUGGGGAACUUGAGUGCAGAAGAGGAGAGCGGAAUUCCACGUGUAGCGGUGAAAUGCGUAGAGAUGUGGAGGAACACCAGUGGCGAAGGCGGCUUUCUGGCCAUCAACUGACGCUGAGACGCGAAAGCGUGGGGAGCAAACAGG